GCCCGCAUGGCUAAGUGGUAUAGCGUAUCACUAGUACGACUAGGAUAAUGAUAAGGUCAUCAGUUCGAUUCUGAUUGUGGGCA